rnacentral:misc_RNA from 1 species
AAGUCGUAACAAGGUCUCCGUAGGUGAACCUGCGGAGGGAUCAUUACAGAGGCUCAUUGCCCUAAACGGGGUAGGUCUCCCCACCCGUAUGGUUAUCAUUACCGAUGUUGCUUUGGCGGGCCGUCAGGCUCACGGCUCGGCUACCGGCUCCGGCUGGAGAGUGCCCCGCCAGAGGACCUCAAACCCUGAAUAUUCGUGUCGUCUGAGUACCAUAUAAUAGUUAAAA